AAAUAAGAAGUAAAUUUUACAUUUAGUUUCGACCUAAAAAUUUGGUGUUUAAUACACCCUUAUUUA
rnacentral:tRNA from 1 species